rnacentral:tRNA from 1 species
GGGCGGUUAGCUCAGCGGUAGAGCACACCCUUCACACGGGUGGGGUCGUAGGUUCGAUCCCUACACUGCCCACCA